rnacentral:lncRNA from 1 species
UCCUCCUCUUCUUCUUCUUCUUCUUCUUCUUCUUCAUCAUCAUCAUCAUCAUCAUCAGCAUCAUCAUUGAUGGGGUUAUAGUCCGAGGGUAGGAUCAUAGGUCUGACCUAUAGGUCCUACCCAAGAACUACCCUUCAUAGGGGACAAGGCCCUUAGACAGUUCCGACUGAACUAAGGACGCCCCCAUCAUCCAGUCGAAGAC